ACCUUAUUCUUUCUCUUUGUUAAAAUGUUGGUUUUAUUUGCCAGCUAUAUUAUAUAUUGUACAUUUUCUCCUUCUUUUGUUCAGAAUUUGGUGGUCAUAAUUGAAUCUCUUGACUUUUGAAGGUUUUUUUUUGUGUUGUUGAAAUAAAAAGUAUUAAAGAUUUUCUUCACUCAGCACCGUGAUUAGCAGUUCUGUCAUCACGCCGUGGCGAUGAGCGCGGAAUACGCUGAACAGAGCUGAAACGAGAGCUGAGCCGGAGCGGCAAUUACGCUGCGGACUGCACGGGGAAUGACGGGACUUUGUGACGGAGCGUCGCUGGAGCAAGACACUUUUCUUCAUCAUAUAUCUUUUACAAUGAACCACAUUUAGUUGUUCCGAUUAGAAAAGCAGUUUAUGAGCUUUCUGGCAGAUUCUGGUUUUAAUCCGGACCCCAAAGAUGCUUUUGACAGAACUUCUGCUCUUCUUUGUAUUAUUAUGCCCAACAGCUCAGCCCACCGACCACCCGCCAGUCAUUAACAGUGACAUUUUCCUGGGGACGCCGUUCACUCCAGGACAGUCGUACCUGAGCCUGCUACUGCUGGUGCUGACCGUGGGCUUGUCCGGCAGUGUCUACCUCUGUGUGCUGCGCUACAUCUGUAAAGGUUGCUGCCAGCCUGUGCUGGUGGGUCCCGAGGAUGAGAACGUGUCGGGGGUCGUCUGAAAGGACUACCUAACACAAUUUCCUCCCCCCGUGCACACACGUGCUUCAUUUCUAUUCGGGGCUUUACACAUGUCACCACAUGGUGUGAUGGGAUAAUGACUGUGAACAAGGCCUGGCGAUUGUGUUGCAUGCCAUCUAGCAUCAGCCUUCAGUGCCACAGGACUGGCUCACAUUCUCCAGAUUUCACUUUUUCUUUGAGUUUCGCUGAGUUUCACUUUUUCUUGGAGUAACACUGGCAUUUCUAUUAUGAGGCAAACUGGAUUUAAGUGUGACAUUAAAUGGAUUAAUUAGAAAUAAUGCCUGAUUUCCAAUAGUAAUAGUCACUGGUAUGUGCAAAGAGAGAUAAAUUAACAAAAAAUUAAAAAUUAAAAUAAAAUAAAUACAAUAACAUUAUAAUUAACA
rnacentral:lncRNA from 1 species